rnacentral:sRNA from 2 species
CCUUUGCCGACCGCGUUAGGGAUAGAGGCGACAUCCUUUUUCUGUCAUUUCGAGCGCAGUCGAGAAACAGAAAAAGAUACAGCCGAUAGCCCGACCCCCG